rnacentral:rRNA from 1 species
GACGAACGCUGGCGGCGUGCUUAACACAUGCAAGUCGAACGGAAAGGCCCUGCUUUUGUGGGGUGCUCGAGUGGCGAACGGGUGAGUAACACGUGAGUAACCUGCCCUUGACUUUGGGAUAACUUCAGGAGACUGGGGCUAAUACCGGAUAGGAGCUCCUGCUGCAUGGUGGGGGUUGGAAAGUUUCGGCGGUUGGGUAUGGACUCGCGGCUUAUCAGCUUGUUGGUGGGGUAGUGGCUUACCAAGGCUUUGACGGGUAGCCGGCCUGAGAGGGUGACCGGCCACAUUGGGACUGAGAUACGGCCCAGACUCCUACGGGAGGCAGCAGUGGGGAAUAUUGCACAAUGGGCGGAAGCCUGAUGCAGCAACGCCGCGUGCGGGAUGACGGCCUUCGGGUUGUAAACCGCUUUCGCCUGUGACGAAGCGUGAGUGACGGUAAUGGGUAAAGAAGCACCGGCUAACUACGUG